rnacentral:rRNA from 1 species
GACGAACGCUGGCGGCGUGCUUAACACAUGCAAGUCGAACGGAAAGGCCCUGCUUUUGUGGGGUGCUCGAGUGGCGAACGGGUGAGUAACACGUGAGUAACCUGCCCUUGACUUUGGGAUAACUUCAGGAAACUGGGGCUAAUACCGGAUAGGAGCUCCUGCUGCAUGGUGGGGGUUGGAAAGUUUCGGCGGUUGGGGAUGGACUCGCGGCUUAUCAGCUUGUUGGUGGGGUAGUGGCUUACCAAGGCUUUGACGGGUAGCCGGCCUGAGAGGGUGACCGGCGACAAGGGGACUGAGGGACGGAGCAGAAGGCUAUGGGAGGCAGCAGGGGGGAGUAUGGCAGAGUGGGGGGAAGCCAGAGGCAGCAGUGCCGGGAUCGUGAUGCCGUCCUACUAGUGGUAAACCGCUGUCGCCGGUGACGUAGAGGUAGUGACGGUAAUGGGUAAAGAAGCACCGGCUAACUACGUG